CAGGCUGCACCUACUGGUCCCUGAAGCACCCUUGGCCACCCCAUUCUUACUGCAACAUGUGGACACCUGAGAAUCCAGCCAAGCCAUUGGCUAUCUAGAGUGUUUCUCGUGUCAACUUAAGCUGCUUGGAGUGUUUGGCUGUACUCCCAUCCCCUGUGGCAGGGGCUCAGGAAUGCAGGGUUGAUAAAAUAGUUGUCACUUUGGAGGCGGCCAGCCUGAGGACAGAAAAAUUAGCUG